CAACACAAUGCCCUACUGGUUACAGACAAAAAUCCCAAAAUCGCUACGAAAUCCACGACUCAAGUUUCUUUGUAUGAAAAAGAUAGGGCAAAAAAACCAUCUCCAACCAGUGAAUCUUUCCAUGGCGGCUUUGGGGUUUCCAAUUGAUAACUAUUUCUCCCUCUGUGGACUCUUUCUUGAAAUUUUCGCUUUACAUUGCACCAUUAACGGUAAGAGCUAUUGAUCUAGUCCUUCCUGUUCUUUUUUCUCUUGAAAUAUUUAUUCAAUUCGAAUUUUGAUACAUUUCUCCAUUUUUGUUUUGACUUUUCGAAGGUUUCAAAUGAUUGUAAAGCUCUAAUAGUUUCAGCUAGUAUAAAUUGAGAAGGAAUGGCAAAAGUUAGAGAUAUAACUGAGGAUUUUAAAGAUGCAAUUCUGCUUGUGGCAACGGUUUUGGGAUACAAUGAGAUUCUUUUCCUUUGUGAAUUUUGUUAUUUUUCAAUCAAUAUGAUAUCAGUCGAAAUUUUUUGAUAUAUUUUUUCCAUUGACCAUUUAUAUGGUGGUUUGAGAUUGGAAUUUAAAACUUUUUCAACACAAUUAUAAAUACUUUGCGAGGUUUGACAGAAGUUUUGUUUUGUGUAAAAUGUUAUGCGAAUUUUGUUUAUGAAAUGCUAUGACGAUUCUCUUAGGUGAUCUUUAUUUUUUUUCUUGGUAUUGUGCCUUCGCUUACUGCAGUUGGUGAUGAGGAAUACUAAUCGAUUCUUACUUAGCCAGUGCUACUGCAAUACGAUUAAUACUAAAUAUUACCUGCUAAAUACUGAUCUUGUUCACAUAUCCGACAACAGAAAUGGUAUUACAAAAUUCUUGUGCUCCAUUUUAUCUUCAUUUUAUCGUAGUUUUUAUGCCUAAGUGAUAUUUUUGUACUUGUUUGCUAUAAUUUUGGUAUGGAUGUCAAGUUUAGGAAAGGAUGCUGAGGCAUUAAUCAAGAAAUUGAGCACAUCGAAAGAUAAAGGUCCCUCAGGUCUCCAAGAGGGCUAGCUGCAAAGUACUGGGAGAAGCCAACUAAGUAUGUUAGCCCAAAAUGCAACCCCCAUUUUAUCCAGCAGCAGCAUUCAAUUAUUGGUUAUUAGAUUGCAGCAAAGCAGUUCCUGCUUCUUGUAACUCUAUGUAUAGAAUAAGGUUGUAACUCUCUUGUAUUUAGCUUUGUUCAUAUUCUAACUGUCCCUUUUUAGCUCAAAUAUGAAACUUUUAGAAAAUGUAAUAACUAUUAUGUAGAACAAAUAGUGAGAAAAGAAAUGAAAAGGUUAUCAUUUUGGUUUUGGUUGGACAAUAGGUCCAGUGAGGCCUCUGGUUCAAAUCCAGAUCAUUCAUUGUCAGUAUGAGUUUAUUUCCAUAAAAAAUGAUUUUUUUGGUAGAAUAGAAUUGUCGCUGAAUGCAAAUGUCAUGUUUUGGUGCUUGUAUAUCCUUUUAUGAAAUCUUAGUUGAAA
rnacentral:lncRNA from 1 species